rnacentral:rRNA from 1 species
UACAGAGGUCUCGAGCGUUGUUCGGAUUCAUUGGGCGUAAAGGGUGCGUAGGUGGCGCUGUAAGUCGGGUGUGAAAUCCUGAGGCUUAACCUCGGAACUGCAUUCGAUACUGCGGCGCUUGAGGACUGGAGAGGAGACUGGAAUUCAUGGUGUAGCAGUGAAAUGCGUAGAGAUCAUGAGGAAGACCAGUGGCGAAGGCGGGUCUCUGGACAGUUCCUGACGCUGAGGCACGAAGGCCAGGGGAGCAAACAGG